CCGGUGCCGACGCGGCCCCGGGACGCCGCUGCCCCCUCGGCGGCCAGGAUGCAGCCGGGGCAUGGCCGCCGGGCCCCCGUCACCUGCUUCGGGGAGCGCUGAGCCUAGCCUGCGGGUGCUGUUCUUCUGUUUCCUGUGCUGGCCCUCAGGACCGGAGCAGCCUGGCGAGAGAACGUGUGCCGGGCCAGAGCAGAUGACCGUCUGUCCGGGGCGGAGCCUGGAUGCAUGCCUGGCAUGGCCGCAGGUCUCCUUGCCGCCCCUUCCUCCUCUUGUCAUUUACAAAUCAAGACGCAAAAUGAAAACGCCCGCUGGUGGGAGACACAGUCGUAUCAUGGAGUUAUCUAAAGCGGUCAGGCCACCCUGGUUCCCAGAAAUGAGAUUAUUUUAAAAUUCCAUCAAAUUAAGGGAAGAUUCCUCUCCGGUUCUGUCUCCCUGCCCCUUGUCUUUCUGUCCGCCCCCCCCAGCCGAUGAAAGAUUUUCUGGCGGUGUCAAGGAAAUGUGACCUGGUUCUGUAAUAAAGAGGAGGCUUAUUAGAAUUAAGGCCUAACAGCGUUAAAAAGCAAUCUUUGCAAGAUUGAGGCCACGGGGGAAUUGUAAAUUCUCAGCAAAGACCUCAUUGAAGGAUUGGAAUAAAAACUUGACAUGCGUGUGCAGGCGAGCACACAGGAAGGGGCCUUCAAAAAACAAAAGAAGCUUAGUUUAAAAAAAAGAGCAAAGCGGGAGGGGGAAGGAAGUGGGGGCAGCUGGGGAAGGAUGAGGGGUCUCUGUCCCUGGUCUGACGUGGGGAUCUCCUGGGUAGACAGACGGAGGCGCAGGCGUCCCUCCUCUCUCUGUCAGGCUCCGCAGUACACCCCAUACCUGUUGGUGCCACUCAGCGGGCUGUGGUCUGGGGGCUGCUUGGGC
rnacentral:lncRNA from 1 species